GGCAGGCCUGCUUGCCACUAUGUGGUGCAGUGGUUUCUCUCUCCCAGCUCUUCCUCAGGGCGAGCAGCUUCUUGCUCAUGUGCAGACUUGUGGUCUGUUGGCCUCUGGGGAUGGGAGGAUACACACGCAUGCUGAGGAGGCAGAAAGGGCGUGUGGAGGGCCAUAUGCAGCCAGGUUCUUCCAAGGCCCCGUGUGCGACACAAUGUGAGCUAUGCCAGCUCCUCCUGGUGACACGGCAUGACCCCUGGCUGAUAAAUGGUUCCUGACGAAGACAGCAGGUGCCUCCCACGUCAGCAGACCCCUCCAAGACACGGAUACUGACUGACUGGUGACUUUUGUGACAUCCUCUGACCCAGUCAGCAUGGUGAAUGGAUAGUAACCCUUUGCAAGUAGCUUGGUCUGUGUUUGAUGACGAGCUCUGAAGAAGGUAGCUGAAGCAAGCUUCCUUGCUCAGGCCGGGCUGAAGACCUGCUGCUGGAAGGAGAAAAUUGUCUGUACAACCUCGAGAGAACUACGGAGCCCAUGGUAAAAAGAAGCACGCGCGCACAAAGGCAGGUCAAGCAACAAGCUAACUGUCCCAUGCUUCAUCAGAGGCCCGGGAAGGAUAUAAUAUUACCUGAAUAAACAGCAAGUACAAGGCAAACAUCUUCCAAAGCUACAGAAAUGACAGAAGCAGCCGGCUGCCUGGACCGUCAACCAAGUUUCCUCUGCAAUGUUGUAGCAUCCAUCUUCAGCAUACAGGCCUAGAACAUCUGACAGAACAUUUUUUUGUGAAGCGGGAAUUUUGAAGGACUGCUGUCUUGUCUUGGCAAAGUUCUGCAAUCACUCUCUUUUGUGCCCUGCUUGUCCAAUUUGGACAGCAUACUGUCAGCGAUGGAGGCAAGGGCAGUUUUUUGCCAUAUGGAAGUUCUUUGGUGCCCAUCAUCUUUUUUUUUUAAAGUAAAUUGGUGCUGCCAGAAGCAAAUGUGUCUUACGUCAUGAAGACUCUUGAGUUAUUAAUACAUUUUAAAGCCAUAUUCUGUAGGUCUCUGAAGUGUAUAAAAACCAUCUAUCUAUCUAAAAUAUAUCUCUGCCUGACUUUAAAAACAUACCUAACAUGGCCUAACUUUGUUCUGGUUGACUACUAACCUGCAUUUCUUAAUUAUCCUAAAUAGUUUGUAAUAAUAAUUUUCAAGGACUAGAACAUUGUUAAAUGAGCUGCACAAUACCUUAGACAAGAGUAGAAACAGUAUAACAAAAAUUACCUUAAAUUUGUAUCAAUAUACAAAAAUCCAUACCAAUGUAAAAUUUUUGAGAUUAGUAGUUGCUUUUUUAAUUAAAAAGUAGGUUCAACAACCUCUUUCCCACCAUCAUUCCUAUAUCCCUCCUUUUUUCUUUUCAGGACAAGAUCCCUGAAUCUAAUUUCCUUUGCUUAGUUUUCUCCCUGACCAUUGCCAAUGACAACUUGCGACCAACUCCCCUAUGUGAUAAUAAACAUCCAUGAUCCUUCAAAUGGCCAGAACCCACCCAUCCCACCUCUUAGGAAUGUGGGCAUCAUGUUCUUAAAAUUACUUCCUGUUAUCUGGGGGCAAUUGCAUCUUUAAG
ensembl:lncRNA